UACGAGGGGGGCAAGCGUUGUUCGGAAUUAUUGGGCGUAAAGAGCUCGUAGGUGGUUUGUUGCGUCUGCCGUGAAAACCCGAGGCUUAACCUCGUGGCUUGCGGUGGAUACGGGCAGACUUGAGGUAGGUAGGGGAGAAUGGAAUUCCCGGUGUAGCGGUGAAAUGCGCAGAUAUCGGGAGGAACACCGGUGGCGAAGGCGGUUCUCUGGGCAUUACCUGACGCUGAGGAGCGAAAGUGUGGGGAGCGAACAGG
rnacentral:rRNA from 1 species